CCUAACCCUAACCCUAACCCUAACCCUAACCCUAACCCUAACCCUAACCCUAACCCUAACCCUAACCCUAACCCUAACCCUAACCCUAACCCUAACCCUAACCCAAAUUCCAAGAGGGGUAGUCACCCCCAUAAACCCUAGGCAACUUCCAAGGGGGGCAUACACCCCCACAAACCCUAGGCAUUCCCCGAUUAACUUUUGAUAUUCUGAGAGGGGUAGGAUUCAACAAGGGCAAGUGUGGGACCUGGUUAAUGAAGGCGUGGGCCAGAUCAAAGUGGCAGGGUGAUGUGAAACAGAAUCUCAAGUGGGGAGAUCAGAAAUCACAAGAGGGCUUUUUAGCCCACUGCCCGCAUAAUUUCAACCUAACCUAUCAGUGACACGCUCUUCAUUCUCCCGGCCCCAGAAAGGCCAAUAAGAAAACCCAGAUAUUUUAUUUCACCUAUCGGGCGUUAAAAAAUUCAUAGUUAAAAGAAUGGAGAGGUUCACCAAUUAGCAGCUAAUGUACCUUUAAGGGCUGAGGUGAGCCGGUCUCCUAGCAACAGCCAGGUUUGCAGUAGGUGGACAAUUAGGUUUUAGUAUCACAUUAGUUAAAAGAGGCCCUGCGGGGGGAAGAAGGUGAGGGAUGUUUUAACUGGAUAGCAGUACUGUCUGGGUUUAGAGACUCCACAGAAGACCCGAGUGACGGACGAGAGUCGAGUUGGACCUUCCGGUCGGGAAUCACGCUUUUUUGAAGGCAAUUGGUUGGAGUCGAAAUCGCAGACGCAAGAUAAGCAAGACUCCACAGAAGACCCGAGUGACGGACGAGAGUCGAGUUGGACCUUCCGGUCGGGAAUCACGCUUUUUUGAAGGCAAUUGGUUGGAGUCGAAAUCGCAGACGCAAGAUAAGCAGUAGGAACAUUAUUCUUUUAUUUAUUGUCUUACUUACAUUAUUGUCUUAAUGAUGUGGAAAGGCAAAGAUAGGAGAGGUUGUGUGGAUCGAUACCUGCCACGUGGGCGAGUGGGUAACUCUGGUUAGUGUCCCUGGGGAUUCCUUCUUAACCACGGUCAGGUUAAAAAUAGUCCAGAACUUUCAUUAUAUGAAAAUUCUGGAAAAAUAGUCCCAACUACCUAAGGGAAUUAAGAAGUAGGCCUACAGAUUCUCCGCAUGGCCUGAGUGAGGCCCAAGGAGCUAGGCCGCCCUGGAAUUAAACCCUUAGAAGUAGUAUGACCUGUACAAUUUUGUGCCUUUCGUUGUCUGGUCUAGGGGGUAGUACAUACGCCAAGCGUGAUUGGCUUGGUUUAAGCCAUUUCAGGGGAGGUGUCGCCUUUCAUUGUCUGGUCCAGGGGUAAUACACACGGCAAGCUUGAUCAACUUGACGGAGCCGGCUCGAGGAGGGUGUCUAAUGUAAAGGCUCGAAACACCCGAAGAUCCGAGAGUGCAUUACUGAUGAUGUGUCCUGGCACAUGACAAUGAGAGGUUUCGAUUUUCCUAUACAAGCAGCUGGCUUAGGAGCUCAGACUUUAAAUUCUGCAGACUAACCUUUGCCAGCUAAACAUAUAGAUCCACCAGCCCUACACUUAAACCUAAUCCUAAAGUCCAAAAGGGGCAUACACCCCCAUAAAUAGGCAAAUUCCAAGAGGGGUAGUCACCCCCAUAAACCCUAGGCAACUUCCAAGGGGGGCAUACACCCCCACAAACCCUAGGCAUUCCCCGAUUAACUUUUGAUAUUCUGAGAGGGGUAGGAUUCAACAAGGGCAAGUGUGGGACCUGGUUAAUGAAGGCGUGGGCCAGAUCAAAGUGGCAGGGUGAUGUGAAACAGAAUCUCAAGUGAGGAGAUCAGAAAUCACAAGAGGGCUUUUUAGCCCACUGCCCGCAUAAUUUCAACCUAACCUAUCAGUGACACGCUCUUCAUUCUCCCGGCCCCAGAAAGGCCAAUAAGAAAACCCAGAUAUUUUAUUUCACCUAUUAGGUGUUCAAAAAUUCAUAGUUAAAAGAAUGGAGAGGUUCACCAAUCAGCAGCUAAUGUACCUUUAAGGGCUGAGGUGAGCCGGUCUCCUAGCAACAGCCAGGUUUGCAGCAGUUGGACAAUUAGGUUUUAGUAUCACAUUAGUUAAAAGAGGCCCUGCGGGGGGGAAGAAGGUGAGGGACGUUUUAACUGGAUAGCAGUACUGUCUGGGUUUAGAGACUCCACAGAAGACCCGAGUGACGGACGAGAGUCGAGUUGGACCUUCCGGUCGGGAAUCACGCUUUUUUGAAGGCAAUUGGUUGGAGUCGAAAUCGCAGACGCAAGAUAAGCAAGACUCCACAGAAGACCCGAGUGACGGACGAGAGUCGAGUUGGACCUUCCGGUCGGGAAUCACGCUUUUUUGAAGGCAAUUGGUUGGAGUCGAAAUCGCAGACGCAAGAUAAGCAGUAGGAACAUUAUUCUUUUAUUUAUUGUCUUACUUACAUUAUUGUCUUAAUGAUGUGGAAAGGCAAGGAUAGGAGAGGUUGUGUGGAUCGAUACCUGCCACGUGGGCGAGUGGGUAACUCUGGUUAGUGUCCCUGGGGAUUUCUUCUUAACCACGGUCAGGUUAAAAAUAGUCCAGAACUUUCAUUAUGUGAAAAUUCUGGAAAAAUAGUCCCAACUACUAAAGGGAAUUAAGAAGUAGGCCUACAGAUUCUCCGCAUGGCCUGAAUGAGGCCCAAGGAGCUAGGCCGCCCUGGAAUUAAACCCUUAGAAGUAGUAUGACCUGUACAAUUUUGUGCCUUUCGUUGUCUGGUCUAGGGGGUAGUACAUACGCCAAGCGUGAUUGGCUUGGUUUAAGCCAUUUCAGGGGAGGUGUCGCCUUUCAUUGUCUGGUCCAGGGGUAAUACACACGGCAAGCUUGAUCAACUUGACGGAGCCGGCUCGAGGAGGGUGUCUAAUGUAAAGGCUCGAAACACCCGAAGAUCCGAGAGUGCAUUACUGAUGAUGUGUCCUGGCACAUGAUAAUGAGAGGUUUCGAUUUUCCUAUACAAGCAGCUGGCUUAGGAGCUCAGACUUUAAAUUCUGCAGACUAACCUUUGCCAGCUAAACAUAUAGAUCCACCAGCCCUACACUUAAACCUAAUCCUAAAGUCCAAAAGGGGCAUACACCCCCAUAAAUAGGCAAAUUCCAAGAGGGGUAGUCACCCCCAUAAACCCUAGGCAACUUCCAAGGGGGGCAUACACCCCCACAAACCCUAGGCAUUCCCCGAUUAACUUUUGAUAUUCUGAGAGGGGUAGGAUUCAACAAGGGCAAGUGUGGGACCUGGUUAAUGAAGGCGUGGGCCAGAUCAAAGUGGCAGGGUGAUGUGAAACAGAAUCUCAAGUGGGGAGAUCAGAAAUCACAAGAGGGCUUUUUAGCCCACUGCCCGCAUAAUUUCAACCUAACCUAUCAGUGACACGCUCUUCAUUCUCCCGGCCCCAGAAAGGCCAAUAAGAAAACCCAGAUAUUUUAUUUCACCUAUCGGGCGUUAAAAAAUUCAUAGUUAAAAGAAUGGAGAGGUUCACCAAUUAGCAGCUAAUGUACCUUUAAGGGCUGAGGUGAGCCGGUCUCCUAGCAACAGCCAGGUUUGCAGUAGGUGGACAAUUAGGUUUUAGUAUCACAUUAGUUAAAAGAGGCCCUGCGGGGGGAAGAAGGUGAGGGAUGUUUUAACUGGAUAGCAGUACUGUCUGGGUUUAGAGACUCCACAGAAGACCCGAGUGACGGACGAGAGUCGAGUUGGACCUUCCGGUCGGGAAUCACGCUUUUUUGAAGGCAAUUGGUUGGAGUCGAAAUCGCAGACGCAAGAUAAGCAGUAGGAACAUUAUUCUUUUAUUUAUUGUCUUACUUACAUUAUUGUCUUAAUGAUGUGGAAAGGCAAGGAUAGGAGAGGUUGUGUGGAUCGAUACCUGCCACG